rnacentral:misc_RNA from 1 species
AACGCACAUUGCGCCCCUUGGUAUUCCGAGGGGCAUGCCUGUUCGAGCGUCAUUACAACCCUCAAGCAAUGCUUGGUGUUGGGCCGCGCCGCUAACCCGGCGGGCCCUAAAACCAGUGGCGGUGCCGUCGGGCUCUGAGCGUAGUAACUCUUCUCGCUAUAGAGCCCCGGCGGAUGCUAGCCAGCAACCCCCAAUUUUCUAUGGUUGACCUCGGAUCAGGUAGGGAUACCCGCUGAACUUAA